UGCGGCUUGGGUGUAGCGUAUACUCUUUCAUUGCCCACUUGGUUCUUUUCCCUGGGAAUCGUCCCUGCAUAUAGAUUAGAGACUGUACGAACCCAAGCGGCCUGCCUUCGAGGUCACUUAUCUCCUGCUUCCCAUCGCGUGCAUCCCAGCGACCAGACUUGCUGCUACGUUUGCGUGCUCUAUUAACCCAAGUGGGAGUGGUGAAAUGUCAAUGAGCAAGAGCAAACAGGGUCAUGGUCCAUGUGCCGGAGAGCGCAAGGCUUAGAUAUGGUUGCUUUAUUUGAAGUUUUAAUUAAUAAUUGAAAUAAAAUCUAUACCGGUCCAAUGGUAAUUUGAAAACAGAAUUAGUGAAAAUUGUUAUAUGGUUGAUCCAAAUGAUUUUCAAAUUACUAAAACUUUGCUAUUUAAAUUAGUAUGAUGGUAUGUAGAGAUGCUUUAAAUUGUC